rnacentral:rRNA from 1 species
GAGUUUGAUCCUGGCUCAGAUUGAACGCUGGCGGCAUGCCUUACACAUGCAAGUCGAACGGCAGCACGGGUGCUUGCACCUGGUGGCGAGUGGCGAACGGGUGAGUAAUACAUCGGAACAUGUCCUGUAGUGGGGGAUAGCCCGGCGAAAGCCGGAUUAAUACCGCAUACGAUCUACGGAUGAAAGCGGGGGACCUUCGGGCCUCGCGCUAUAGGGUUGGCCGAUGGCUGAUUAGCUAGUUGGUGGGGUAAAGGCCUACCAAGGCGACGAUCAGUAGCUGGUCUGAGAGGACGACCAGCCACACUGGGACUGAGACACGGCCCAGACUCCUACGGGAGGCAGCAGUGGGGAAUUUUGGACAAUGGGCGAAAGCCUGAUCCAGCAAUGCCGCGUGUGUGAAGAAGGCCUUCGGGUUGUAAAGCACUUUUGUCCGGAAAGAAAUCCUUGGCUCUAAUACAGUCGGGGGAUGACGGUACCGGAAGAAUAAGCACCGGCUAACUACGUGCCAGCAGCCGCGGUAAUACGUAGGGUGCGAGCGUUAAUCGGAAUUACUGGGCGUAAAGCGUGCGCAGGCGGUUUGCUAAGACCGAUGUGAAAUCCCCGGGCUCAACCUGGGAACUGCAUUGGUGACUGGCAGGCUAGAGUAUGGCAGAGGGGGGUAGAAUUCCACGUGUAGCAGUGAAAUGCGUAGAGAUGUGGAGGAAUACCGAUGGGGGAAGGCAGCCCCCUGGGCCAAUACUGACGCUCAUGCACAAAAGCGUGGGGAGCAAACUGGAUUAAAUACCCUGGUAGUUCACGCCCUAAACGAUGUCAACCUAGUUGUUGGGGAUUCAUUUCCUUAGUAACGUUGCUAACGCGUGAAGUUGACCGCCUGGGGAGUACGGUCGCAGGAUUAAAACUCAAAGGAAUUGACGGGGACCCGCACAAGCGGUGGAUGAUGUGGAUUAAUUCGAUGCAACGCGAAAAACCUUACCUACCCUUGACAUGGUCGGAAUCCCGCUGAGAGGUGGGAGUGCUCGAAAGAGAACCGGCGCACAGGUGCUGCAUGGCUGUCGUCAGCUCGUGUCGUGAGAUGUUGGGUUAAGUCCCGCAACGAGCGCAACCCUUGUCCUUAGUUGCUACGCAAGAGCACUCUAAGGAGACUGCCGGUGACAAACCGGAGGAAGGUGGGGAUGACGUCAAGUCCUCAUGGCCCUUAUGGGUAGGGCUUCACACGUCAUACAAUGGUCGGAACAGAGGGUUGCCAACCCGCGAGGGGGAGCUAAUCCCAGAAAACCGAUCGUAGUCCGGAUUGCACUCUGCAACUCGAGUGCAUGAAGCUGGAAUCGCUAGUAAUCGCGGAUCAGCAUGCCGCGGUGAAUACGUUCCCGGGUCUUGUACACACCGCCCGUCACACCAUGGGAGUGGGUUUUACCAGAAGUGGCUAGUCUAACCGCAAGGAGGACGGUCACCACGGUAGGAUUCAUGACUGGGGUGAAGUCGUAACAAGGUA